rnacentral:rRNA from 1 species
AGAGUUUGAUCCUGGCUCAGAACGAACGCUGGCGGCAGGCUUAACACAUGCAAGUUGAACGGGAUUUGUAUGGUGCUUGCACCAUGUAAUGAGAGUAGCGCACUGGUGAGUAACACGUGGGAACAUACCUUGAAGUGGGGGACAACAGUUGGAAACGACUGCUAAUACCGCAUAAUCCCUGAGGGGGAAAGAUUUAUCGCUUUAAGAUUGGCCCGCGGAAGAUUAGGUAGUUGGUGGGGUAAAGGCCUACCAAGCCGACGAUCUAUAGCUGGUCUGAGAGGACGAACAGCCACAUUGGAACUGAGACACGGUCCAGACUCCUACGGGAGGCAGCAGUGAGGAAUAUUGGGCAAUGGAGGAAACUCUGACCCAGCCAUGCCGCGUGAGUGAAGAAGGUUUUCGAAUUGUAAAGCUCUUUCGGAUGGGACGAUGAUGACGGUACCAUCUAAAGAAGCCCCGGCAAACUUCGUGCCAGCAGCCGCGGUAAUACGAAGGGGGCAAGCGUUGUUCGGAAUUACUGGGCGUAAAGGGUGUGUAGGCGGAUUUGUAAGAUAGUGGUGAAAUACCUGAGCUCAACUUAGGAAUUGCCAUUAUAACUAUAGAUCUGGAGUGACAGAGAGGAUAUUGGAAUACCCAGUGUAGAGGUGAAAUUCGUAGAUAUUGGGUAGAACACCAGUGGCGAAGGCGAGUAUCUGGCUGUCAACUGACGCUGAGGCACGAAAGCAUGGGGAUCAAACAGGAUUAGAUACCCUGGUAGUCCAUGCUGUAAACGAUGAAUGCUAGUUGUCGGCAAAAGCCGGUGACGCAGUUAACGCGAUAAGCAUUCCGCCUGGGGAGUACGGUCGCAAGAUUAAAACUCAAAGGAAUUGACGGGGACCCGCACAAGCGGUGGAUGAUGUGGAUUAAUUCGAUGCAACGCGAAAAACCUUACCUAGCCUUGACAUGCCAGGAAUCCUGAAGAGAUUCGGGAGUGCCCGCAAGGGAAUCUGGACACAGGUGCUGCAUGGCUGUCGUCAGCUCGUGUCGUGAGAUGUUGGGUUAAGUCCCGCAACG